GGAUUCCCUCAGUAAUGGCGAAUGAACAGGGAUAAGCUCAGCUUGGAAAUUGGGCCCUCUGGGCUUGAAUUGUAGUCUUUCGAUGGCAUUGCCAGCGGAGGCGCAGAUGUAAGCCUCUUGGAAAAGAGCAUCAAUGAGGGUGAGAGUCCCGUUUGUCAUCUGCAGUCCUCUGUUUACGGUGUGCUUUCUAAGAGUCACGUUCCUUGGGAUUGGAGCGCAAAUUGGGUGGUAAAUUUCAUCUAAAGCUAAAUAUUGGUUCGAGACCGAUAGCAAACAAGUACCAUGAGGGAAAGGUGAAAAGGACUUUGAAAAGAGAGUUAAAAGUGCCUGAAAUUGCUGAAAGGGAAGCGAAUGGAACCAGUCUUCUUGGUGAGAUUGUUGUGCGCUAUUGUGAUUGCUUUCUGCUUCAACGCAAGUGUUGCAGUGGGUUUUGAGCAUGACGCGCACUUUGUUUCUCACCUCGUGUGUCAACGUCGGUUCAGAUUUGAGGAAAACUCUAGGGACAUGGUUAAUUACUCGCGAGUGAUUGAAUGUGCCUGGUAGAACUCAUGUCUAAACUGAUUUCCGCAUGUCUGGUCGCAGUGUUCUCAUUACCUGCGUCUGGGUUCGUGGCUUGUAGCUUCUGUUACUCGUCGCGGGCUUCUGGGCCUGGUCGUGGAGCAUCUCCCUGACAUUAGUACGAUGACAAAAUGGUUUCAUUCGACCCGUCUUGAAA
rnacentral:rRNA from 1 species